rnacentral:rRNA from 1 species
GACGAACGCUGGCGGCGUGCUUAACACAUGCAAGUCGAACGGUAAGGCUCCAGCUUGCUGGGGUACACGAGUGGCGAACGGGUGAGUAACACGUGGGUGACCUGCCCUGCACUUCGGGAUAAGCCUGGGAAACUGGGUCUAAUACCGGAUAGGACCGCACCGUGAGGGUGUGGUGGAAAGUUUUUUCGGUGUGGGAUGGGCCCGCGGCCUAUCAGCUUGUUGGUGGGGUAAUGGCCUACCAAGGCGGCGACGGGUAGCCGGCCUGAGAGGGUGGACGGCCACAUUGGGACUGAGAGACGGCCCAGACUCCUACGGGAGGCAGCAGUGGGGAAUAUUGCACAAUGGGCGGAAGCCUGAUGCAGCGACGCCGCGUGGGGGAUGACGGCCUUCGGGUUGUAAACUCCUUUCACCAUCGACGAAGGGUUUCUGACGGUAGAUGGAGAAGAAGCACCGGCUAACUACGUG